rnacentral:rRNA from 1 species
CACCAGCCCCUCGAGUGGUGGGGAUGAUUAUUUGGCCUAAAGCGUCCGUAGCCGGCCGGGUAAGUUUCCCGUUAAAUCCAAUGUCUCAAGCAUUGGACUGCGGGAAAUACUGCCUGGCUAGAGAGUGGGAGAGGUGUACGGUAUUCUGGGGGUAGGGGCGAAAUCCUUUGAUCCCCGGAGGACCACCAGUGGCGAAGGCUGUACACUAGAACACGUCUGACGGUCAGGGACGAAAGCUGGGGUAGCGAACCGGAUUAGAUACCCGGGUAGUCCCAGCUGUAAACGAUGCAUGCUAGGUGUUGGGUUGGCCACGAGCCACCCCAGUGCCGCGGGGAAGCCGUUAAGCAUGCCGCCUGGGAAGUACGAUCGCAAGAUUGAAACUUAAAGGAAUUGGCGGGGGAGCACCACCAGGCGUGAAGCCUGCGGUUU